UAUUUGUCAACGUCUAGAAAAAAAAUGUAAAUCAUACAUUCAAAGAGUUUCUUUAAAGAAAUUUUAAAAAAUCCCUUUUUUUUAAGUGCUCUAUUGCCUGUCACCUUCUUCAUGCCAUGCGCUCGUGUACUACACCUCCCACCGCACGCCGUCUCGCCUAUCCCUUCCAUACUCUCACGCGAUCCCCGAUCGCCGCUCGCCGAGCUGCAUCGCGACAGAAUAGUUUCGACGUGUGACCAAAAUGAAUAACAAAGAACCCUGGAGAGUGAGACGGAGAAGUUGGCGGCUCUCCUCGAACAGAGCGAUUUGACAACCGAGAAGCAGCAGCACGCGGUGGCAGAGCAGGCCACAAAAAAAAACCAAACAGAACCAAAAGAACUGA